UCACAGGUUUUAUUAAAAUCCACAAAUCAUUAGUGGAAAGGAUUUU
rfam:Gavia stellata contig31897, whole genome shotgun sequence.